rnacentral:rRNA from 1 species
GAUGAACGCUGGCGGCGUGCCUAAUACAUGCCAGUCGAGCGAACAGACGAGGAGCUUGCUCCUCUGACGUUAGCGGCGGACGGGUGAGUAACACGUGGAUAACCUACCUAUAAGACUGGGAUAACUUCGGGAAACCGGAGCUAAUACCGGAUAAUAUAUUGAACCGCAUGGUUCAAUAGUGAAAGACGGUUUUGCUGUCACUUAUAGAUGGAUCCGCGCCGCAUUGGCUAGUUGGUAAGGUAACGGCUUACCAAGGCAACGAUGCGUAGCCGACCUGAGAGGGUGAUCGGCCACACUGGAACUGAGACACGGUCCAGACUCCUACGGGAGGCAGCAGUAGGGAAUCUUCCGCAAUGGGCGAAAGCUUGACGGAGCAACGCCGCGUGAGUGAUGAAGGUCUUCGGAUCGUAAAACUCUGUUAUUAGGGAAGAACAAAUGUGUAAGUAACUAUGCACGUCUUGACGGUACCUAAUCAGAAAGCCACGGCUAACUACGUG